CCUACGGGCGGCUGCAGUGGGGAAUAUUGGACAAUGGGGGAAACCCUGAUCCAGCGACGCCGCGUGUGUGAAGAAGGCCUGCGGGUUGUAAAGCACUUUUAGUGGGGACGAAAAGUUUCGGACUAACAAUCCGGGAUCUUGACUUAACCCAAAGAAAAAGCACCGGCUAACUCUGUGCCAGCAGCCGCGGUAAUACAGAGGGUGCGAGCGUUAAUCGGAAUUACUGGGCGUAAAGCGCGCGUAGGCGGUCUUGUAAGUCGGGUGUGAAAGCCCCG
rnacentral:rRNA from 1 species